rnacentral:rRNA from 1 species
AUACGGAGGGUGCGAGCGUUAAUCGGAAUUACUGGGCGUAAAGCGUACGUAGGCGGUUGGUUAAGUUAGAUGUGAAAGCCCCGGGCUUAACCUGGGAACUGCAUUUAAAACUGGCGAACUAGAGUUGAGUAGAGGGGAGUGGAAUUUCAGGUGUAGCGGUGAAAUGCGUAGAGAUCUGAAGGAACACCAGUGGCGAAGGCGACUCCCUGGACUCGAACUGACGCUGAGGUACGAAAGCGUGGGUAGCAAACAGGAGUAGAAACCCUAGUAGUCC